GGAGAUAUUAGGCAGAAUGUACGAGCUGCUCUUUUCCAGUGCCAUCGGAUGAGGAUUUAUACUAUCAAGCUCCAAAAGGACAAAACCGCACUAGAAAAGUAUCACAAAAGUUAACAGAAGCUUGGACAUUCAGCCUAACAUUGUUUUUUCCAAGGAAGACAGAAUAUAAAGCAGGCUGGAAUGAGGACGUGAGGUCUCUGUCUGUCUCGCGAACAUGGAGGUCUGUUCCCAGUCACUAACGGCUCCUUUGUCCAAGCCUUCCACGGCUCCUUGCUCCAAGCCUUUGACGGCUCCUUGC